UGCUAUCGGAUUGGUACUAAGCCAUGUGAGUCGUUGUAGCAAUACAAGGCAUACGGCUCAGUAACACGUAGUCAAUCUAACCUAUGGACGGGGAUAACCUCGGGAAACUGAGGAUAAACCCCGAUAGAUCAUUAUGCCUGGAACGGUUUAUGGUCUAAAUGAUUCGUCGCCGUAGGGUGGGACUGCGGCCUAUCAGCUUGUUGGUGAGGUAAUGGCCCACCAAGGCUAUUACAGGUACGGGCUCUGAGAGGAGAAGCCCGGAGAUGGGUACUGAGACACGGACCCAGGCCCUAUGGGGCGCAGCAGGCGAGAAACCUUUGCAAUGUGCGCAAGCACGACAAGGUUAAUCCGAGUGUUUCCUGCUAAAGGAAUCUUUUGUUAGUUGUAAAACCACUGAUGAAUAAGGGGUGGGCAAGUUCUGGUGUCAGCCGCCGCGGUAAAACCAGCACCUCAAGUGGUCAGGAUGAUUAUUGGGCCUAAAGCAUCCGUAGCCUGUUCUAUAAGUUUCCGGUUAAAUCCAUUAGCUCAACUAAUGGGCUGCCGAAAAUACUGUAGAACUAGGGAGUGGGAGAGGUAGACGGUACUCGUAGGAAGGGGUAAAAUCCUUUG
rnacentral:rRNA from 1 species